GAACUGAAGAGUUUGAUCCUGGCUCAGAUUGAACGCUGGCGGCAUGCCUUACACAUGCAAGUCGAACGGCAGCACGGGAGCAAUCCUGGUGGCGAGUGGCGAACGGGUGAGUAAUAUAUCGGAACGUACCUUUCAGUGGGGGAUAACGUAGCGAAAGUUACGCUAAUACCGCAUAUUCUGUGAGCAGGAAAGCAGGGGAUCGCAAGACCUUGCGCUGAUUGAGCGGCCGAUAUCAGAUUAGCUAGUUGGUGAGGUAAAAGCUCACCAAGGCGACGAUCUGUAGCGGGUCUGAGAGGAUGAUCCGCCACACUGGAACUGAGACACGGUCCAGACUCCUACGGGAGGCAGCAGUGGGGAAUUUUGGACAAUGGGGGCAACCCUGAUCCAGCCAUGCCGCGUGAGUGAAGAAGGCCUUCGGGUUGUAAAGCUCUUUCGGCCGGGAAGAAAUCGCAUGGGUCAAUACCCUGUGUGGAUGACGGUACCGGAAUAAGAAGCACCGGCUAACUACGUGCCAGCAGCCGCGGUAAUACGUAGGGUGCGAGCGUUAAUCGGAAUUACUGGGCGUAAAGCGUGCGCAGGCGGUU
rnacentral:rRNA from 1 species